GACGAACCGUCCUAACGUUGUUCGGAAUCACUGGGCUUAAAGGGCGCGUAGGCGGGCUCUCAAGUCCGGGGUGAAAUCUUUCGGCUCAACCGGAAAAUAGCCUUGGGUACUGGGAGUCUCGAGUGAGGUAGGGGCGGGUGGAACUUCCGGUGGAGCGGUGAAAUGCGUUGAUAUCGGAAGGAACGCCGGUGGCGAAAGCGACCCGCUGGACCUCUUCUGACGCUGAGGCGCGAAAGCCAGGGGAGCAAACGGG
rnacentral:rRNA from 1 species